rnacentral:rRNA from 1 species
AACGAACGCUGGCGGCGUACCUAACACAUGCAAGUCGAACGCGAAAAGCAGUAAUGCUGAGUAGAGUGGCGCACGGGUGAGUAACACGUAACUGACAUGUCCUAGAGACAAGGAUAACCGUUCGAAAGGAUGGCUAAUACUUGGUAAGCCCACGGAUUAGGAUCUGAGGGAAAAGGAUCGGGACCUUUCGAGGCCGAUCGCUUUAGGAGUGGGUUGCGGCCCAUCAGGUAGUUGGCGGGGUAAAAGCCCACCAAGCCUAAGACGGGUAGCUGGUCUGAGAGGAUGAUCAGCCACACUGGAACUGAGACACGGUCCAGACUCCUACGGGAGGCAGCAGUGGGGAAUCUUGCGCAAUGGCAGAAAUGCUGACGCAGCAACGCCGCGUGGGUGAUGAAGGUCUUCGGAUCGUAAAGCCCUGUCGAAGGGAAGAUGCUUGUGCAUGUUAACAGUAUGCAUAGGUGACGGUACCCUUAAAGGAAGCACCGGCUAACU